UGGGCCGGCACGUUUACUUUGAACAAAUUAGAGUGCUUAAAGCAGGCAAGCCCGCCUGAAUACUGUGUGCAUGGAAUAAUGGAAUAGGACCUCGGUUCUAUUUUGUUGGUUUUCGGAACCCGAGGUAAUGAUUAAUAGGGACAGGCGGGGGCAU
rnacentral:rRNA from 1 species